GAUGAAGAACGUAGCGAAAUGCGAUAAGUAGUGUGAAUUGCAGAGUUCAGUGAAUCAUCGAAUCUUUGAACGCACAUUGCGCCUUCUAGUAUUCUGGGAGGCAUGCCUGUUUGAGCGUCAUUAAACCUCUCUCAAGUAUGAUUACUUGGAUGUGAAGGAAGAGUACCUUAAACUUAAGGAGUGUUCUCCUUUGAAAUUGAUUAGCAGAUGGUAAUGUUAUUAAAUCCCUGAUGUUGUAAGAAAUAACAGUGGUUUUGUAGACUAUUAUCUAGCUUUAAAUUAUAAUUUUUAUUAUGGUUGACCUCAAAUCAGGUAAGGAUACCCGCUGAACUUAAGCAUAUCAAUAAGCGGAGGA
rnacentral:misc_RNA from 1 species